GUCCACAUCGACGGGGAGGUUUGGCACCUCGAUGUCGGCUCAUCACAUCCUGGGGCUGUAGUAGGUCCCAAGGGUUGGGCUGUUCGCCCAUUAAAGUGGUACGCGAGCUGGGUUCAGAACGUCGUGAGACAGUUCGGUCCCUAUCCGUCGCAGGCGUAGGAAAUUUGAGAAGACCUGUCCUUAGUACGAGAGGACCGGGAUGGACGUACCUCUGGUGUACCAGUUGUCCUGCCAAGGGCAUGGCUGGGUAGCUAUGUACGGAAUGGAUAAGCGCUGAAAGCAUCUAAGCGCGAAGCCAACUUCAAGAUAAGAUUUCCCACCGCAAGGGUAAGACCCCAGAAAGACUAUCUGGUUGAUAGGUCGAAGGUGUAAGUGCAGCAAUGUAUUUAGCUUAUCGAUACUAAUAGGUCGAGGACUUGACCAAU
rnacentral:rRNA from 1 species